CUGAAACAGCUCUUGCAUCAUAUUCAGACAAAGAAUGGAUGUGAGAAUGCACCAGAUGGCUGAUUCAUUUGUUGCAGAAGAUGUGAUGUGAGUGAGGUGGGACCAUGAAAGAAACCAUAUUGCAAAGCACAAACACAAGGAAGGAAGAAUAUGAAGAAAACUUAAUAAUAACAUCGAAAUUUCUUGAAUCCAACCUCUGUUCCAAGUUUCUCAUUACAUGAGAUGACAGCUGCAACUCACCCUGUUAACAGUGAACCUGCGUUAUUGUCUGGGCCUGAAAUACUCAGUAAUAAGUUUACUGGCAUAUGAAAUAAAACUCUGAGAGAGAUGAUUGCAAUAUUAGAAGGGUAACUGGCCCGGUCUUGUUCUCACUGAAGGUAGUGGGAACCAAAUCAGAUAGUUCGAUGAGAAUAAAAACUCAUUGCUUCUGCCUUUAGAAAACUGUACUGUUGGACUAAGCCAUAUUCUGGAGGGCUGUUCUUUAUUGUUUUUUGAAAACAUGUUGCACUUGAUGAAGUAAUG
ensembl:lncRNA